rnacentral:lncRNA from 10 species
AUGGUCCAGCAUUUGGCAUACCAUUGUAGGCUUUUCUGCAAUACAGCCUCUAACAAAAUUAGGCUGUCCCAAAUCCCUGUUCACAGAACUGUUUACCUUCAUACCAAGAAGGUUGGGAAAACACCAAAAUCUGCAUGUGGCGUGUGCCCAGGCCGACUUCAAUGAGUUCCUGCUGUGACACCUAAAGUUCUUAAGAGUCUGUCUCAAAAAAAAAUCCAUGUCAGCAAGGCCUGUGGUUGUUCUAUGUGUACUAAAUGUGUCUGUGACAGAACCAAGCGUGCCUUCCUUAUUCAGGAAAAGAAAAAGUAUUGAACACACCAGCACAAAGUCAGAAAACUAAACAAAUAAAUGAA